GAAACACAACGGAGUGUAGAUGUUUUAUUUAAAUUUAGUUUGUUUAUAAAGAGUGAAAAGGAUCAUGGCAGGCCUAUUAAGAACUGGUACGUACUUUUCUUAAAGGACCCUAAGUUGCAUUGGUUCGGAAAUACUUCAGUGGGCAGCUGGUUCCUCAUAGUAAUGCGCCGCAGAAACUACCUUAAAAACGCUCAGUUGUAUAACGGCGGACGGCGAGGUUAUACGAGUGGAAUUUCGUUUUCUGCCACAACGUGCGAUGACGAACUUUUUACUGAUCCUUACCUUACCGGGAUUAUCCUUUACCGGAAAAUAUAGCUGAAAUAAUAAUUGCGUCAAGGCGAUAAAUUUCCGUCGGAAAGUGAAGUUUCCAAGAUUUCUCAAAUCACAAAGGGCGAGUUCAUCCUUUGUUCCCGGUCCGAUGUUCACCAUCUCUCUCACUCUUGGGGGAAAUAUACACUAUCCCUUUCUCUCGUUAAAAUAUGGCGGAUGCUGCGUACCUUGGGGAGGCACGAAAUUUAGAGGGUGAGGGUGGAAUAAAUCAAGCGUAUUUUAAGAUUCGGAGGGAACCAACAUCAAUAUUUACGCUAGGCAAACUUAAUUUUAAAUGUAAUAU